UACGUAGGGGGCAAGCGUUGUCCGGAUUUAUUGGGCGUAAAGAGCGUGUAGGCGGUUUGGUAGGUCCGCUGUGAAAACUCGAGCUCAACCUCGAGACGCCGGUGGAAACCAUCAGACUAGAGUCCGGAAGAGGAGAGUGGAAUUCCUGGUGUAGCGGUGAAAUGCGCAGAUAUCAGGAGGAACACCUGCGGUGUAGACGGCUUUCUGGACCAUUGUUGACGCUGAGACACGAAAGCGUGGGUAGCAAACAGG
rnacentral:rRNA from 1 species